UUUUAUUCCAUUUCUCUCCCCAACCCUUGCAGGUUUACUGGUCCCUUGCUCUACUUCUUCCCCUGCUGGUGCAGUCUCUCCCCAUCACUGAGGAGGACCUGCCUAUUGACUGUCUUCAGAACAUGCACCUGCUCACAUAUGGGGCAAAGUAUAUGUUGAGAGUGGACUUGGAGGACUUUGAGGGGGGGAAGGCCUCUGCUCUGUACGGAACCUUCUUUAUAGAAUCAGAGUCGGAUGGGUACAGACUUCAUGUGAUUGACUUCAAGAAUGUCGGUGCAGGUGAUUCUCUGGCCCGACACAACGGAAACAGAUUCUCUGCCUUUGAUAGGGACCAGGAUUCCUAUAGAUGGGGUCAUUGCAGUAGAGGUCACCUAAUGGGAGGAUUUUGGUUUCACAACUGCAAGGAUACCACCCCUAAUGCUCUAUACCAAUGGAAAGACUACCGUGUCAAUGACGGGUCUGGUUUGCUAUGGCGAUCAUCGAAUUUGUCCCAACUGAAAGCCAUUGCUAUGAAGGUUAAGAGGUUUAGGGCUAAUCUAAGUAACUAGUUGAAGACGUCUCUGGUUUAUUGGCCGUACCACAAUUAGACUUUAAAUGGUCAUCCUGUUUAAGAAUGGACAGACCAUUUUUUUCUGAAAUGAGAUGUAUUAAGAACAUCCUGGGAUUGUUUGCUUUUUUAUAUAUAUAUGAAGUGAAAAAGUCAUGAUUUCAUUUCUUUAGUAAUUUACUGCUUUUGAUCUCUCAUUGCAAACACGUUGUAUGUUGAUGAAUCGUUGGGUGUUUCUCGGCUGUUCCAUUCCUUGAUUGGCCUUGUCUAUCAAAUGAAGCCCCAAAUAAAUAUGUCAACCUUGCCAUCCGGGAAUGUUUUUUUUUCUUCUCAAUUCUAAUGUGUGAUCUGAUUCCGAUUUGUCGCUAGCAAAAACAUUUGAAUAUCCGCCUUAAUUCUCUGAGCCCACCUCUAGACACAAUGGUCUAGGUUGUUUGUUGAUUGAUGUAUCGUCUCAAAAUGGUCAUAGAAAAAACGAAGACUGUGUCGUUAUUGCUUUCAUAAAAUAUAGUA